rnacentral:rRNA from 1 species
UACGUAGGGUGCGAGCGUUGUCCGGAAUUAUUGGGCGUAAAGAGCUUGUAGGCGGUUUGUCGCGUCUGCCGUGAAAGCCCAGGGCUUAACCCUGGGUCUGCGGUGGGUACGGGCAGGCUAGAGUGUGGUAGGGGAGACUGGAAUUCCUGGUGUAGCGGUGAAAUGCGCAGAUAUCAGGAGGAACACCGGUGGCGAAGGCGGGUCUCUGGGCCGAUACUGACGCUGAGGAGCGAAAGCGUGGGGAGCGAACAGG